CACCACUGCCGUACGUACCCGCACUGCCACCUUUUCUCCCCACCCCAAAGCUCAUCCUCUCAAAGGCUCCCCCAGCCAUUCACGAGAUCGCGCAGCCAAUCAUUGCCACCCUCCGUCGCCGCCACUCCCUGACCUUGGUCACAUCUCGCCACCGUGGCUGCUGGAGCAGCUGGAUCAGGAGCUCCUCCUCGGCUCCAUUUUCUCACCAUCGCCCGGCUCCUUCUCCAGCUCGCCGGAGUCGAAGGCCACACAACGAGGCGGGAUCCCGUUCCUUCGGAGUUUGGAAGCAAGACGCCAAGGCCAAGAGUGCCGGGUCCUCUCCUCCUCGCCGCCACGCCGAGGACCUGGGGCCGGCCGUUCACCAUUGUGCGCCAGGUCCGCGCGGGUGCUCCCUUCCCUUGCAACCUGCGUUCUCUCCACAGGAACCGCCCAAACUCCGAUCCAGGUGAAGCUCGCUCUAGCUGUCCCGUCGACCGCGAAACCACCUCUUAUGCUCGAACACUCCAUAUAACCUCACCAUGCAGUUAGCUAGCCCAGUACAAGUGCAACAGCAGUGGAGGUUGUAGGUGUUGCCACGGGGGUGAUGGAGCCGCUCCUGUCCAAGCUCACCAAGCUGCUUGGGGAAGAGUAUGCCAAGCUCAAAGGUGUUCGCAAGCAGAUCGAGUUCUUGAGGGAUGAGCUGACCGCCAUGAGCGCUUCUUGCUCUCCGAUCAACUACUCCCUUAAGUAGUACGACUACUUCCUGAAGCUGUGCGACUAUUUUCUCAUGACACCUACGACUACUCGGUGAACCGAUCAACUGCUGCCUCAACAUACUCGGUGCCUCGAUCGACUACUUUCUGAAGCUCAUACAACUAUUUCCCGGUGAUCGUAACUCGAAAAUCACCGACGGUCGGGGCGUCCGGCGGGCAACACAGCGAGCGGAGCCGGGAGAUUAGGCUGCUGCUACCCUCCUCUCUCCUAGCGCGGCUCGUUGGUCGGCUCUUGGUGUUGCGGGCGUGCCACCUGGCUUGACCUGCAGCCAGAAAGGGGUGAGUGGUGAGGCUUUCGUCUCCUGCUUUCCCUGCAUCACACAAGAUAAAGCGUUAAGUUCCUGCCGAUCGCCCGGAUCGGCAAACUGUGAACCCGGUUGCUAUGUAUCGGCACAAUCAGCCGAUCCAGAGACGUUCAGAGGCAUAUUGGCACAUUUGCCGAUUGAAGAUGCGAUCGAUAAACAACAUGUAAAAUGCAUCUGUAAUAGAUAAAACCUACCCUAGAACAUGAUAUAAAUAAAUCUACCUAUCUAGAUAGGCUCUUGCUACGCACGA